GUGGGGAAUAUUGGACAAUGGGCGAAAGCCUGAUCCAGCCAUGCCGCGUGUGUGAAGAAGGUCUUCGGAUUGUAAAGCACUUUAAGUUGGGGGGAAGGGCAGUAAGUUAAUACCUUGCUGUUUUGACGUUACCGACAGAAUAAGCACCGGCUAACUUCGUGCCAGCAGCCGCGGUAAUACGAAGGGUGCAAGCGUUAAUCGGAAUUACUGGGCGUAAAGCGCGCGUAGGUGGUUUUGUAAGUUGGAGGUGAAAUCCCCGGGCUCAACCUGGGAACUGCCUCCAAAACUGCAUGACUAGAGUACGGUAGAGGGUAGUGGAAUGUCCUGUGUAGCGGUGAAAUGCGUAGAUAUAGGAAGGAACACCAGUGGCGAAGGCGACUACCUGGACUGAUACUGACACUGAGGUGCGAAAGCGUGGGGAGCAAACAGGAUUAGAUACCCGGGUAGUCC
rnacentral:rRNA from 1 species